rnacentral:rRNA from 1 species
GACGAACGCUGGCGGCGUGCUUAACACAUGCAAGUCGAACGGAAAUGCCCUGCUUUUGUGGGGUGCUCGAGUGGCGAACGGGUUAGUAACACGUGAGUAACCUGCCCUUGACUUUGGGAUAACUUCAGAAAACUGGGGCUAAUACCGGAUAGGAGCUCCUGCUGCAUGGUGGGGGUUGGAAAGUUUCGGCGGUUGGGGAUGUACGCGCGGUUUAUCAGCUUGUUGGUGGGGUAGUGGCUUACCAAGGCUUUGACGGGUAGCCGUCCUGAGAGGGUGACCGGCCACAUUGGGACUGAGAUAGGGCCCAGAAUCCUACGGGAGGCAGUAGGGGGGAAUAUUGCACAAUGGGCGGAAGCCGGAUGCAGCAACGCCGCGUGCGGGAUGACGGCCUUCGGGUGAUAAACCGCUUUCGCCUGUGACGAAGAGUGAGUGACGGUAAUGAGUAAAGAAGCACCGGCUAACUACGUG